AAUGGACGAAAGUCUGAGGCAGCAACUCCGCGUGAGGGACGAAGGCUCUAGGGUCGUAAACCUCUUUUCUCAGGGAAGAUCCAAGACGGUACCUGAGGAAUAAGCCACGGCUAACUACGUGCCAGCAGCCGCGGUAAUACGUAGGUGGCAAGCGUUGUCCGGAUUUACUGGGCGUAAAGAGCGCGCAGGCGGCUGGUCAAGUCCGAUGUGAAAUCUCCCGGCUCAACUGGGAAACUGCAUCGGAAACUGAUCGGCUUGAAGGUGGGAGAGGGUAGUGGAAUUCCCGGUGUAGUGGUGAAAUGCGUAGAUAUCGGGAGGAACACCAGUGGCGAAGGCGACUACCUGGCCCAUUCUUGACGCUGAGGCGCGAAAGCUAGGGGAGCGAACGGGAUUAGAUACCCCGGUAGUCCUAGCCGUAAACGAUGAACACUAGGCGUAGUCGGUAUCGACCCCGGCUGUGCCGUAGCUAACGCAUUAAGUGUUCCGCCUGGGGAGUACGGCCGCAAGGCUA
rnacentral:rRNA from 1 species